UCACUAAUUCUCCUUCACCAUCGGCAGAUCACACAAAGCGCUAAUCAUUGCUAAAGGUGUAAAAGAUGCUCACGGAGGCAAAGUCAAUCCCCCCGUCUUUGACAUGACCACAUACCUCAGGAAGAUGAACAUGUGAACAAGCCCCGCCCCCUGCCCUACUGACUCCGCCCACUUCACCUGUCGACCUGAUCUCCAUUCAUAAAGCCAGAAGAACCGCUCCACGAUCAACCAAACAUGUGCUUGAGAAGCCUCUCAUCUUCAUCAUCUUCAUCAUCCUCAUCUCGGUUUAAACAUUCCAGGAGUCUGAGAUCUCGGUUUCUUCUCCGGUCAGGCAGUGGAACGCAAACUCCUGUUAAUAUCAAACUCAUUUAUUGGUUUUAUCACUAAUUAAUUGAUUGAUUUACGGUACUAUAGUAUUUUCUGUGUUUUGGACGGGCGGAGCGUCCAGUCAAACGGUUUUAGCAUUUGUUUGUAUGAUUGUCUGUGUGAAAUCCUGCUGAACAAAACCGAGAAAUCUGACUAUAAGAUGCCAAAUAAAGAGAGAAUGAGUUUGUACGGA